rnacentral:lncRNA from 1 species
UGACAUCGGAAACGAGUUCCUCACCCCCGAAAACCCCGGAAGCAACCGUCCUCCGUCGGAAAAUCCUCGCCGGCAGCCUUGGGAAGUGUCGCGUGAGCAGCGACUUUCCGGCUCCGAUCCGCCGCCUUCCGGCCACUUUCCGGUCAAAACUCUUGUACUUCCGGACUCCCCGCAACUCGAGCUUCGCAUAGGCGCUUCCGGAUUCGAAUUCCGACACCGGUGUUUUCCGGACGCCCGAAAUAUUUCAAUUUUUAUCUGAGUAUAAUUUUAUUUUAGACUCUGAAAAUUUUGUUAUAAUAUUAGAAGUUAUUGUGGCUAUUAAUUACUUAUGAUGGGUAGUUUAAAAAUAAAUCAAAUUAAAUUGUUUGUGUUGUGGUGUUCUGGCGUCGGGAAAAUAUUAAUGCAGUUCUUGUGGCCCGGCUCCUGUUAUUAAAUUCCAGCAUGUUUGAUAUGUUUUUGGUAGGUCCUGGGCCCGUUUUACGGGGGUAAAUGUCUGUAAAUUAGGGGAGGUUCUGUCGAAUUUCUGGCAAAUCCCUCGAGUCUAAUUGAGUUUUAGACAGACCAUUAUAGAAGUCUAAGUUAGAAAAAUUUAAGGAUGUCGAUUAAUUGAGUGUUUUCCAUGACUAGAUAAUCCAGCCUUCUCACCAGCUCCACCCGAGGCGUAGGAGCGGACUAUGGAACGCGUUAGAUCUGUGAGUUAAAGUCAUUUAAUCAUUGCACUAUUGCUAAGUCUGAUUUUAAUAUGCUAUUUUAGAAUUUGUGCUUAAUAUAAUUAUUAGUAUCGCAAAAUAAAUAAUUUCACUUGACUAUUAAUUAUUGGAAAUAAUAUAAAUAUUAUUAUUAGUAACGUUAUAAUAGUACAUAUACUAUUAUUUUUCGAAACGAAUUGCAUGUUGCCUUACCCUAGAUUUUUAAUCUUUAUUCCGAUAUGUGUUGAAUGAUUUCAUUAGACAAUGAUAUUUAUUAAAUGUGAUGAUUGCGUCUUGAGAAAUGUGGCUUUCGUAGAACAUGCCACCUGGUGGGUUGCAUCAGGACCGCGUGCGCACCGGUAAUGAUCAUGGACAUAAGAUUAUUAUGGAUUUGUUUGCCCUGAUCGAGCAUUUGCUCUCUAGGCUGAGUUCAGUUUAUUGCCGGAGUUAAGGUCCCUGAUCGAGCAACGCUCUCUGGGCGCUGGCUUAUUUGGAAUUCAAGUGUUCAGGCUGGAGGUAAGGACCCUGAUCGAGCUUGCUCUCUGGACGCCAGACCUGUUGGAUUAAGAGAGCCGAAAGGCUACUAGAAUUUGAGGUUUAAGGUUCUACUGAGCCACUCGUCCCGUAAAAGAAACAUAAAUAUAUUUUUUAUUUAUUUAUUUUAUUAUGGUAUGAUGACAUCAUGGUUUCUGUUUAUGUUCAGGAUUUGAUAUAUUGAUUCGAAUAAUGAAUAUUUUCUGUAAAGACUGCAAUAGUCUCUAGAUUAUUUGAUUUUAUCUCACUCCCGAGACUGACAGUCUCAGUUGUAAAUUUUUUUAGAUGGCAAUUAAAGACCUUCACCAUCGCACAUUUGAUAGUCCGACUUUUUCUUCUUCAGACUUUUGUAAUUACCUUGUACUUCUAUACUUGUCAUUAUUUACUCUAGAGUAUCCGCAGUAGGAAAUUUUAAAAUUGAUAUAACUAUUCUGACUCAUGUUGGAAGUAUGAUGAUUUAUUUAUGCAAGACAAUUAUGACUACUUUAUAUUUUGUUAACUGUCUAUCUGGAUUUGCGGGUCGGUAAGGCUUACUACGGGUUUUGGUGGUCUUAAGCCUACCCAUUCCCUAGUGCCGGUCACGGGCCCAUAGAGUAGGUCGUGACAAAGUUCAAAAUAAUAGAAAAAUAGUUAAUAAUAGAAGAAGAGAAAGAAAAGAAGUAAAUAAUUUAAACUUUUAUUGAAGAGAGAAAAUUUUACAAAUAGAGAUAGUAGGGAAGAUAGUUCAAGCGUUCAAGAGUUACCCUCCUUCUUCUAAUGUACAUCUAUUUAUAAUAAGAGAAAAGAUACUAUUCGGACUUCAAAUACAUUUGAGUCCGUUACAUUAUUGUAAAAGACAAUAAUUGAACUAAUUUGUCAAAAAGAGAAAAGUAGAUGUGUGCCACUUUGUCUGCCACUUGUCCAUUCUUAUUGACUUCUUUUGUCUUCUUCUAUUUUGUUAAAAAGAUUCUCGGUUGUUCACUUGUUCAUUCUUGUCUGCCACUUGUCCAUUCUUAUCAACUUGUUUUGUUUUUUAGCUUUGUUCAUUUUUCAAAAGAAAAGAUUCUUGCUUAUCUUCUUAUUUUGUCCGUCUUUGUGAAAAGGAAAGAUUCUUGUCCAUUUAGUAAAAAAGAAUGUCAUAGUUGUCGAGUCCAUAGCAAUCAUCUUCAUUUUGAGGAGUAAAGUUAGGUCCACUAGUGCUUCCAGAGUCUUCAUCGUCACUGUCUCCAGAGACUUGUGACAAAGCUUGUUCCAGAGCUGCUUUGAAUUCUUUCUUUGUUGUAUUUCCAGAUAUUUUGCUAAAAUCUUGCUUUUGUCUGACAAAAAAUUAAAUUGCCCAUAGAUUGACUUGUUCCAGAUAUCAUAGGAUUUUUUUCAGCAAAAUGUUUAGAACUGUUUCUUUAUUGGCCUGAAUGUCUUUGCAAUUUGUCUACCAUUUGACACUUUAUUCUCGAACUAAACAGGCAAUAGAAUUUACAUUUGGUGAAGAUUUAAAGGGUUUUACCUUGAAUUGCCAAGAAAAUAUCCAAGGUAUGUUAAAGGUUCGGAAAAAAGNNNNNNNNNNNNNNNNNNNNNNNNNNNNNNNNNNNNNNNNNNNNNNNNNNNNNNNNNNNNNNNNNNNNNNNNNNNNNNNNNNNNNNNNNNNNNNNNNNNNNNNNNNNNNNNNNNNNNNNNNNNNNNNNNNNNNNNNNNNNNNNNNNNNNNNNNNNNNNNNNNNNNNNNNNNNNNNNNNNNNNNNNNNNNNNNNNNNNNNNNNNNNNNNNNNNNNNNNNNNNNNNNNNNNNNNNNNNNNNNNNNNNNNNNNNNNNNNNNNNNNNNNNNNNNNNNNNNNNNNNNNNNNNNNNNNNNNNNNNNNNNNNNNNNNNNNNNNNNNNNNNNNNNNNNNNNNNNNNNNNNNNNNNNNNNNNNNNNNNNNNNNNNNNNNNNNNNNNNNNNNNNNNGGAUUUUGGUUCCAGUCGGUUAGGGUAAGGACUUUCAAAAUUCUGCAUUUUGAAUAGGAGAUUUUCUUGGGAAUAUCUUUGUCAAAGGAAUGUUCAAUUUCUAUUGAGUGAGUGUCUAAAAGGAUGAGUUCGUAAAAAAUUUUCAGUUUGUGAGAGCUUUCAGGAAUAAAAAAUUGUCCAGAGGGGAAAAUAUGUUGAAAUAGUUGUUGGUAAUUGGAAUUUUCUAAAUUCCCAUUGAAAAUUUCGCUUUCAAGAAUAGUAACAAUUUGGUGUUGGGUUUUUGUGAAGUAUUUGGGUGGUUCGGUUCUAGAAGAACCGGGUUUUGUAACAGCUUGUAAAAAGUUGGAUGGUUUUGGUGGGGUAGAAGAAGUUUUGUCAAGAAUUUCAAAUCUGUUGGUAGAGACCAACGAAGAUUGUCCAGACUUUUUAGCCACAAAAUCGACUGGAGAUAAUUUUUUCUUAAUGGGAGUGCCCAUAAGAAUUAGCUUGAUUUAUUUCCCUGCAAAAAUUCUCUUGUUAAAAAAUCAGGAAAGAAUUUAAAGAACCUUUAAUAUAUUCAAUAUCAAAAUCAAAUAUUCCUAAAAGUGCUUGCCAACUGGCACAAACUUGUUUUGAAACAAAAUUUUUAACAUCUUUUUCUAAAAUAUUUUUUGCAGCACUACAGUUAAUACGUAGUAAAAAAUGUUUUUCAACUAAAUCGUCUUCAAAUUUUGUAAUACACAAAACAAUUGAUAAAGCUCUUUUUUAAUAGUAGAGUAUUUGGAUUGGGUUUCAUUCCAUGCUCCAGAGUGAAAUCUAACCAAAGACUCUGUAUUUUGACCAGGUAAUCUCUGUUUGAGUAUACCCCCAAAACCUAAAUCAGAGGCAUCUGUUUCUACUAUGAGAAAAGCAUUUGGAUGUGGAAUGGACAGACAGGGUAAAUGACGAAUUUUUUGUUUAAUGGUUUGUAUGACACGGGUGUGUUCUCGUGUACAGGGUUUUGGAUUUUUUCUAAAGCGAUUGAACAAAGGUUUACAGAGGAUUCUAAUAUCCUUAAAAGAAUCAGAUACAUAAUUAAGGCUUCCCAAAAAUCUUUAAAGUUGAUUUUUGUCCUUAAUUUCAUCAGGAAAUUUGGAAGUAAAUUCCAAAACUCUUGAAAUAGGUGAAACAUUGUUUUCAAAAAUUUCUUGUACAAGAAAUUUUAUUUUUGUUUGUCAUAGUUUCAUUUUAGGUGUAGAAACAACUAAACCAUUUUGCUUAAUUAUAUUGUAAAACUUAUGCAAAUGAGAAAAAUGUUGUGCUAAUGAAUUUGAAAAAACUAACACAUCAUCAAUGUAAACAAUGGUAAAUGAUUGAUGAUCAUGAAAAAUGUCAUUAAUUAUUCUUUGGAAUUCAGAUGGUGCAUUUUUUAAUCCAAAUGACAUGACAUUCCAUUCAUAAUGACCAAAAGGGACAUUAAAACUAGUUUUGUAACGAUCUUUUUCAUUAAUUUGAAUUUGCCAAAAACCAGAUUUCAUGUCAAACUUGGAAUAAAUUUUUGAAUCAUAAAGUUUUUUCAACAAAUCUCUUUUGUUAGGUAAAUGAUAUCUAAUUUAUUCUAAGACUUUAUUUAAAGGUUUAUAAUUUAUAACAAGUCUAGGUACACCCCGUUCUCUUUCUGCUCCAUUGUAAACAUAAAAAGCAAAGCAGCUCAAAGGAGAACUAGAAUUACGAAUUAACCCCUUUCGUAAUAAUUCAUUUAUUUCUUUCCUACAAUAAUUUUCAAGUUCCGUGUUCAUGUGUAUAGCAUGUGAUUUUGUUGGUAUGUCAUUUUCAGAAAAAUCUUUAACAUAAGGUAAAGAAAUCACAUGUUCUUUCCUAUUCCAAAAAACAUUUGGGACAGGUGCACAUAAGUCUUUAGUAAAGAAAUUCUCAAUAUCUUUUAUUUUGGCUUUUGUCACAUCAAGGUCUAACUCUUCUUUAAUCUUUAAAGAUAAGAUUUCUUUAUUUAAAAAAGCAAUUUGUUUUUUCUUUUUACUAAUAAGAUCAUUAAAAACGCAAUUUUUCUUUAAAACAUUUAUGUCUUUUUCUUGCUCAGAGAAAAUGAAUUUAAAACAAAUUUCUUUUCCUAAUAAUCUAGUUUUGAUACCAUGAGUGUCCACUGAAAAAGGAUAAAGCAAUGCUAAAAACAGAGUUCCAAGAAUAACAGUAGCAGAUAGAUUUUUGAUUAAAAUAAAAGAAGUGUAAAAACAUAAUCUAUCAUUACAAAUUUAAACUUUAGAAAGCUUAUAAUUUAUUUGCAUUCUUGAACCAUCAGCAGUAUGUAAUUUUUCGGUUGUUUUUUCAAAAAACUGUGUAGGUACAAUUCCUUCUUGUAUACAGUUUUGAUCUGCUCCAGAAUCAACUAAAGCAAUUGUCUCAAUUUCAAAAUCAUUUAUAAGAAUUCUAACAAAAAUAAACCAUUUAUGAAAAUUUACUCUGGUAAUAUGAACUAAAAAUUCUUUAAUAUGAGAAUCAUUUGUAUUUUCAGAAGACUCAGCAAUUUCUUUAUUUUUCCUAUUUAGUUCCAAUUUUAAAAUUCUUUCUUUGAAAUCUAAAUUUUCAUUUUUCAAAUUAUUAAUUUAUUGUUUUAUAUUUUUAAUUUCCUCUUGUAAAUCUUGAAUAUUAGGUGUAGAAUUUCUAGAAGAUUUUGGAUCAAAUCUUUGAAAAAUUUCUUCUAAGUUGUAAGGAAUAUGUUCAGAUUUUUUGAUUUCGCUAUGCAAAACAAUAUCUCUUAAUUUUAAAAAGUAUUUUUCUCUAUUUGAAGGGUCACUAAUUUUGUCAACUAAUUCAAAAAGAUCAGAAAGGUUUUUUUUUUAUAAAACAUUUAAAGUUGAAUUACAACAAGGACCUGUACAAAUUCCAGGACCUUCACAUGUUUCAAAAUCAGUACACAAAGCUAAGCCUUCAUUAUUAAUAAAAUUAAUAAUUUCUCCAUAGGUUAAAGUAUCAUAAAGAAUAGUAUUUCCAUAAAAAUCUCUAAUCCUAGUUCUAACCUUUUCAGCAAAUAAUUUAGGUAAACCAACAAUAAAUCUUUCUUUCCAAAAACUAUGGUUACAAUCAGUUCUAGAGAAAACUUUUGUUAGAAAGACAUCUUUGUACCAUCGAAAAUCUUGAAGUUUAGGACAAGUUAAAUUUGAAAGAAUUUCAGAAGAUCUAAUUUGAUAUUGAUUAGGUUCACCAACAAAACAUUUUGUAAUAGCAAAAAGUAAAGUUGCUACAGCAUCCUCUUCCUCAGUUUGAACAAAUGUUUGAUUUUCAGUUUUUAUAACUAUUUUCCUAGCAUUUAAAAUCCUUGAUUUAUCUUCUAAGGAGGUGUAAUUAUCCCACCAUCCUUUUAAUUGACCAGUAAAGCCAGAUAUUAACAUCUGAGCUAUUUUUUUAUUAGUAUUAUUUACAGAUCUGGCUCUGUACGAAGUACAAGCCAUAGUCAUUUCUUGUAACAUAUUUAAAAUUUGAUACUCAGACAGACCAUCUAAGUUCCAUUCAUAAACAGAAUCUCCAUCAUAUUUUGCUUGAGUAAAGCUAACUCUUUCUUCAAACAAAACAUCUGGAGGGGUAGGUCUAGGAUAAUAAUGUCUAGUCCUAGGUUUGUCAAAACCUCUAUUAUUGUAUAUUUUAUUUAUUUCAAAUUUAUCGUUAACAAAUUUACUCUCUAAAUCUUUGAUUUCAUUUUGAUCAGACUUUUCAGAAUUAAGCAUACUAACAGAAGGUUUAUCUUUCAAAGACAGACUAGCUAAUUUUAAAUUUAUUUGGUUCAGAAUAUCAUCUUUAUCAUUUAAUUUGAUUAAUUGUUGUUCAGGAAUUUCAUGGGGUUAAAAAAUAGGUUUCAUAGGUACUCCACCUAGCCUAGGUGCAUGAUUAUUUAGGUUGGACGUCUCUAUCCUAUCCAGUUGUGAAGCAAUUGUAAAAAGAAUUUGAUUUGUAUAAUUAUUUUAAUUUUGAACAUUUCUAAUAUCUUUUAAUAAAGGGAGUUUGUCAUUAUUCUCAGAGCUUAUCGUUUUAAAAGGUGAAGCAAUUAUUUAUUGAUUAUGAACAUUUAUUUUAACUUCUUCUAAAGGUGGAUGAACAAAAAUAAUUUGUUUAUUUCCUACGGUUGUAAUCCAAGUUUUAGAAACUCUAUCAUUUGUAAAAAGGUUUUUAAAAGGAAAUUCUAUAUCAUUAUUGUUACAAUAAAUUUCAAAUCAGAUGAAAAACGGAACAUUAACCUUAACAGAAUUUAAAUAUUCAUAAAAAUUUUCUUGAAUAGUGUCUCUCCCCCCCCUUGAAAAAUGGUUUUGAAACCAUAAAACUUUUCACGAUUUCUUAUAUGAUAAUAAUCUGAUCGUAAGAAAGGUUUAUUUAUUUCAAAAGGAGUAUAAAUCAUAUUUAAAGUUGAAAAAUUUUCCAUAGUUGAUCUUGAGGGUGACAAAACAGAUUUAUCUGAAAUUUUAUCUUGAUCUAUAUUAACAGAAUCAGUGUAAAAAGGUUGAGGAAUUCUAUUGUCAAAAUCAACUCCUUGUAAAUUUGUAUUUGGAUUUGGAAAACGUGUUGUGUGUGUAGAAGGUCUAGAAUUUUCAAAAGUAGACAAUUUCGAAAAAGGUAAAAAAGUAGGUGAAAAACUUAUUUGAACAGAACCAUUAGAUUGCUCUAAAAUUUGUGAAACUCUAGAAUUAUUUUCAAUAGAUUGUGGCUUAUUAAUUUCUUUGUAAAUCCCAAGUUCCAGCUUGCGACAACUCAUUCCAUUUUAGUCUUUUGGGGACUUGUAUUUUAGAAUGUAAAGGAUUAGCUUCAAAUAUUAUUGUCUCAUUUCUUGUUAGAGAAUGUCUUGCUCUAGGAUCUAUAGUCGUUGUCAUUACUUUAUAGUAAAUUCUAUAAAUGACAGCUAUAGAUCUAGAAUUUUCAGCAAAAUCCAUACUUUUGGUUUUAACAGUUAAAAUCAAACUGUCUAAAAUAUUUGAAUCAAAUAAUGAAAUUGAAAAAUUUGGAUAACAAUUAAAAUAGACAGGACCAUUGGCUAAAUUCGAUUCAGCCAUAGCUAAAAGUGAAUUUGAAAAAUUUAAAUGUCGAGCAUCUCUUAAACAAAAAAAAAUAGGUAUGUCCAAUCCAAUUCUAAAUAAAGGUUUAACAGCAAUUUGAACCAUGUCUAUAUGCAAAAAUUUAAAUUUCUUUUUAAUAUGUUCAUGCAAUGGAGAAGAUGAAAGUAAAUGUAAAUUUUCAUGAGAUUUAUUUAAAGCAAUAGUUUGUUCAGUUUGUUUAAUAGAAUAAUUUUGUGCAAAAUCAAAAGUUCCAAUUCGAUAAAUACUAUUAACAUUUUGUUUAGGGAUGGAUCAAUUAUGUAACUGAUUUUCUAUUUCUGGGAUAUUAGACUCUUGAACAGUAAAUUCUUCAGAAUUUAAAUCAGAAAGAGUAGAAGAAGGAGAAACUAUUUGUCGACUACUAAAACUGCGAAACAACGAUGUCAUUAUCAAAGAUAAUAAACAAGUAAAUAAUAUUUAGGAUAGUGGGACCACCUACCGGGACCACCCUGACUGAUAAUUGGGAAGACGGGCUGACCAACGGAAAACCAGGCUGACCAACGCUACCUUAAACAAUAUCACGAGUUUAAUAAUUAGGCUCUGAUACCAUGUGCGGAGCAGGAUCGAAAUAAUAGAGAAAUAAUUAAUAAUAGAAGAAGAGAAAGAGAAGAAGUAAAUAAUUUAAACUUUUAUUGAAGAGAGAAAAUUUUACAAAGAGAGAUAGUAGGGAAGAUAGUUCAAGCGUUCAAGAGUUACCCUUCUUCUUCUAAUGUACAUCUAUUUCAAAAGGAAUAGAAAUCAUAUUUAAAGUAGAAAUCAUAUUGGGAGAUUUCUGUUCCCAAUAUGGAUAUGAACGUAUUCAAGCUCCUUCUUCAAAAACCAAAAAAUAUUUGAAAAGAAGAUUUUCUAAUAAAAAUUAUAGAAAAAAUACUUCGAAUUUUCAAAAACCUUCUUCUUCUAAAAAUAUUUCUCAAAAUAAAAAUAAAAAUAAAAAUAAUAAAAAGAAAAGUCCUCAUGUUUGCUUUAAGUGUGGACGUGUUGGUCAUUUUAAAUCCCAAUGUAGGAUGAAAGAAAAAAUCAAUAAUUUAGACAUUUUUGACAAACUUAAAGAUCAAAUGCUUAAUCUUUUACUAUCUGAUACAGAUCCUGAAAAUUCUGAUUUAAGUAAUUUUGAAGAAAAUGAUUUAAAUAUUUUAAGUGAUUCAUCUUCUACAAAUACUGAUUUUGAAACAUGUGAAGGUCCUAGAAUUUGUGCAGGUCCUUGUUGUAAUUCAACUUUAAAUGUUUUAUCAAAAGAAACCCUUUCUGAUCUUUUUGAAUUAGUUGACAAAAUUAGUGACCCUUCAGAUAGAGAAAAAUACUUUUUAAAAUUAAGAGAUAUUGUUUUGCAUAGCGAAACCCAAAAAUCUGAACCUAUUCCUUACAAUUUAAAAGAAAUUUUUCAAAGAUUUGAUCCAAAAUCUUCUACAAAUUCUACACCUAAUAUUUAAGAUUUACAAGAGGAAAUUAAAAAUAUAAAAUAUGAAAUUAAUAAUUUGAAAAAUGAAAAUUUAGAUUUCAAAGAAAGAAUUUUAAAAUUGGAACUAAAUAGGAAAAAUAAAGAAAUUGCCGAGUCUUCUAAAAAUACGAAUGAUUCUCAUAUUAAUGAAUUUUUAGCUCAUAUUACCAAAGUAAAUUUUUAUAAAUGGUUUAUUUUUGUUAGAAUUCUUAUAAAUGAUUUUAAAAUUGAGAAUCUCUUUACUAAAGACUUAUGUGCACCUGUCCCAAAUGCUUUUUGGAAUAGGAAAAAACAUGUGAUUUCUUUACCUUAUGUUAAAGAUUUUUCUCAAAAUGACGUACCAACAAAAUUACAUGCUAUACACAUGAACACGGAACUUGAAAAUCAUUGUAGGAAAAAAAUAGAUAAAUUAUUACAAAAGGGGUUAAUUCAUAAUUCUAGUUCUCCUUGGAGCUGCUCUGCUUUUUAUGUUUACAAUGCAGCAGAAAGAGAACGGGGUGUACUUAGACUUGUCAUUAAUUAUAAACAUUUAAAUAAAGUCUUAGAAUGGAUUAGAUAUCCUUUACCUAACAAAAGAGAUUUGUUGAAAAAACUUUAUGAUUCAAAAAUUUAUUCCAAGUUUGACAUGAAAUCUGGUUUUUGGCAAAUUCAAAUUAAUGAAAAAGAUCGUUACAAAACUGGUUUUAAUGUCCCUUUUGGUCAUUAUGAAUGGAAUGUCAUGCCAUUUGGAUUAAAAAAUGCACCAUCUGAAUUUCAAAGAAUAAUAAAUGACAUUUUUCAUGAUCAUCAAUCAUUUACCAUUGUUUACAUUGAUGAUGUGUUAGUCUUUUCAAAUUCAUUAGCACAAUAUUUUUCUCAUUUGCAUAAGUUUUACAAUAUAAUUAAGCAAAAUGGUUUAGUUGUUUCUGCACCUAAAAUGAAACUAUGCCAAACAAAAAUAAGAUUUCUUGGAUAAGAAAUUUUUGAAAACAAUGUUUCACCUAUUUCAAGAGUUUUGGAAUUUACUUCCAAAUUUCCUGAUGAAAUUAAGGACAAAAAUCAACUUCAAAGAUUUUUGGGAUGCCUUAAUUAUAUGUAUCUGAUUUCUUUAAGGAUAUUAGAAUCCUCUGUAAACCUUUAUUCAAUCGCCUUAGAAAAAAUCCAAAACCCUGGACACGAGAACACACCCGUGUCAUACAAACCAUUAAACAAAAAAUUCGUCAUUUACCCUGUCUGUCCAUUCCACAUCUAAAUGCCUUUUUCAUAGUAGAAAUAGAUGCCUCUGAUUUAGGUUUUGGGGGUAUACUCAAACAGAGGUUAUCUGGUCAAAAUACAGAGUCUUUGGUUAGAUUUCACUCUGGAGCAUGGAAUGAAACUCAAUCCAAAUACUCUACUAUUAAAAAAGAGCUUUUAUCAAUUGUUUUGUGUAUUACAAAAUUUGAAGACGAUUUAGUUGAAAAAUAUUUUUUACUACGUAUUGACUGUAGUGCUGCAAAAAAUAUUUUAGAAAAAGAUGUUAAAAAUUUUGUUUCAAAACAAGUUUUUGCCAGAUGGCAAGCACUUUUAGGAAUAUUUGAUUUUAAUAUUGAAUAUAUUAAAGGUUCUUUAAAUUCUUUACCUGAUUUUUUAACAAGAGAAUUUUUACAGGGAAAUAAAUCAAGCUAAUUCUUAUGGGCACUCCCAUUAAGAAAAAAUUAUCUCCAGUCGAUUUUGCAGCUAAAAAGUCUGGACAAUCUUCGUUGGUCUCUACCAACAGAUUUGAAAUUCUUGACAAAACUCCUUCUACCCCACUAAAACCAUCCAACUUUUUACAAGCUGUUACAAAACCCGGUUCUUCUAGAACCGAACCACCCAAAUACUUCACAAAACCCCAACACCAAAUUGUUACUAUUCUUGAAAGCGAAAUUUUCAAUGGGAAUUUAGAAAAUGCCAAUUACCAACAACUAUUCUGUUAGAAAACCCGGUUCUUCUAGAACCGAACCACCCAAAUACUUCACAAAACUCCAACACCAAAUUGUUACUAUUCUUGAAAGUGAAAUUUUCAAUGGGAAUUUAGAAAAUCCCAAUUACCAACAACUAUUUCAACAUAUUUUCCCCUAUGGACAAUUUUUUAUUCCUGAAAGCUCUCACAAACUGAAAAUUUUUUACGAACUCAUCAUUUUAGACACUCACUCAAUAGAAAUUGAACAUUCUUUUGACAAAGAUAUUCCCGAGAAAAUCUCCUAUUCAAAUGCAGAUUUUGAAAGUCNNNNNNNNNNNNNNNNNNNNNNNNCAAUUGGUUUUCCGAUUGGUGGACAUAUUUUGGACUUUGCCCAGAAAUCCUACCUACUAAAAUUAUGGAAGGAUUUACCAUUUUCAAAGAAAAAUUACCUAUUCUUAAACAUGACAAGUUGAUCAUUUUUUCCGAAACCUUUAACCUACCUUGGAUAUUUUAUUGGCAAUUUAAGGUAAAACCCUUUAAACCUUCACCAAAUGUAAAUUCUAUUGCCUGUUUAGUUCGAGAAUAUAGUGUCAAAUGGUGGACAAAUUGCAAAGACAUUCAGGCUAAUAAAGAAACAGUUCUGAAAUAUUUUGCUGGAAAAAUUUGGAUAACAUUUAAAAUAGACAGGACCAUUGGCUAAAUUCGAUUCAGCCAUAGCUAAAAGUGAAUUUGAAAAAUUUAAAUGUCGAGCAUCUCUUAAACAAAGAAAAAUAGGUAUGUCCAAUCCAAUUCUAAAUAAAGGUUUAACAGCAAUUUGAACCAUGCCUAUAUGCAAAAAUUUAAAUUUCUUUUUAAUAUGUUCAUGCAAUGCAGAAGAUGUAUUAUUAAAGAAAAAUUAAAAUUUACAUGCAAGCUCAUAUUAAUAUAAUUAAAUAAUUAUAUAUAGCAUACACUUUCUCGUAUGAACUAUUUAAAAAAAGUUAAAUCUUUUAAUUCAAAUAUUAUUCUUAGAUUAAAACAUUUGAAAUAUAUUUAAGUCAUUAUUAUUAUUUAGGAUAAAUAUAAUUAAAUGGAAGUUUGAUAAUUUAUUUUUAACAAAUUUUUAAAAUGUAAAAAAAUUAUCUAAAUUACUAUAAAAUUUUAUAAGACCUUUAUGUUUAAAUCAUAUCAAUUAUUUUGAAAUUAUUAUACAUUCCUCAUAGUACUAUUGAAUAAAUAUAUUUUAAUCAUAUUAUUUUGUUUUUCAAAUAUUUUAUUUUAUUAUUUAUUAUUAUAAAAAUAAAUAAGUAAAUAAUUUUUCAGCACCUGUGAUGUAAGUGAAUAUUAGUAAUUGAAUUCGUUAAUUCACUCUUCUAUUAGCCUACUCUUAAUAUAGACUUUAUAAUUUUAUUUUGAUUUGAGAUUCAACUGAAAAUAACAUAUUUCAUAAUUUUCCUAUUACUAAAAUUCUAAUUUAAAGAAUCUGUAUGUCCGUUUUUUAAGAAAAUAUUUCAUUAGUAAAUUUAACAAAAUUAUAUAAGAUUUUAAAGAUUCUAGCAUCGUCUUUAGACUAUAAUAUUGAUCAUUUCAUUCUUUUUUUUUUAAAAUAGAUUUAUCAAUGUAUUAUAUUUAUAAAUUCGUUAACUAAAUUAUUAAAUUUGAUUAAAAUAAAAAUUUAUCAAAUUCAGAAUUAUAAGUAUUUUUAAUAUUAAAAGUAAAAAUACCACUACUACCUACUAUUGCUCUUAUCGCUACUAUUAUUUUACGAACAAUAUUGAAAUUCUAAUAAAGUUUGACCUUACUCUUAUUGCUAAUGUUAUAUAGUGAAAUUCAUAUUUUUAUAAUGACUUUUCUUAAAAUUAAUUAAAAAAUUUAUUUGACUUUUUGUAUUUAUAAUAAAAAAUAUAUUAUUAAUAAAUAAUUUUUAGCUUUUAAGUUUCAUUUAUCUUUUUUCAUAUAGAAAAUAUAACAAAGAGAAAUAAAAAUAAUAAUAUCAGAGAAUUUAAAACCAAAAAAAGUAUGUCAAUAUUAAUAAACACAAUCAACUCUAAUGUUAAAAUAUUUGUCCGACAGAGUCAUAGAUGUGUCCUUCAAAUGAAAUACAAACUCUAGAUAUAGCCCAAGUUUACAUGCAAUUAAUCAAGCCAUCAUUAUUAAAGCAAAUUGAAUUAUAUUUGAUGUUCGCGAAAAUCAAAUAAUUCGGUUUAAAAAGCAAAGAAUAAAAAAACUAAUUGGCUGAAAUUGAAAACUCAACUCUAUUUGCACAUAAUCAUCCACUAAUUUUAGCUUCUAUCGAGCAAAAGGUGAAAAAAUUAAACAAUUCAAUGAUGAGGUCUGCGAGUGUUUGUUGUUACCAACAUCCUUUGAAAAGAUCCUCGUUAAUCUUCUCCUUCAACGCCUAACACUAAUAUAAAUUAUAGAUAUAUAUAUAUAUAAUUUAUAUUAUAUAAUUAAUAUUAAAAUUUUAAUAGAGUUGGACUUAUAGAAUUAGACUUAUAUAUAAUCAAUUAUUUAUAUUUUAUAUAAUAAAAUAAUUGAUAAAUAAUCUAAUUAAUAAAAUUAACUAAAUCAAUAAGGUUAUUUUAAUAAAUAUGUCUGUCAUCCCCUUUUUGUACAAUUAUAUAUGUUAUAAUUUAUAAAAAAAAUUAAAUGAAUGACUUUUACUGAAUUUAUAAAUUUUUAACGACUUUUAUAGAAUUUAUGAAUUUAUUAAUAGCUUUAUAGAAUUUAUAAAUUUAUUAAUAACUUUUAUAGAUUUAUUUUGAAAAAAAUUUAUAUAUCUAUAUAUAUGAAUUUUAUAGACAUUGGAAACCUUUUUUAUUUUAAUAUACAUAUUUUGAUGUCAUAAAUUUGAUUUUUUAUCAUAUGAUUAUUAUCAAAUUAAAUUAUAAAUGACCAAAAUAACCAAAUUAAGUAAAUAAUUAGUAAAACCCUAUUAGAAUCAAAUAGAUCUCUAAUAUUAAAAAAUAUCAUCAUAUGUAAAUACAAUUGGUUUACUAUUUUGAUAGAAAAAGUUUUCUGUUAUUAUUUUAAAUUAUAAUGUAUUUUAUUGUUUGUUAUUAUAGUAAUUAAUUUUUAUUUUAAUUAUUAUUAAUUAAUAUUUUAAGAAUAAAUUUAUAGAAAUUAUUAAAAAGAACUGUUUCAUUUUUAUCUGUUUUUGCUAUCCUUAUUCUAUUUCUUCUUAAUUAUAGUUUUAAAAAUGAUUUCUUGUACUUUCUUGUUAAUCAUAUGGCAACUUCAGGAUCAAAUAAUACAGAAAUAAAAAGAGAGAAAGUAAGUAAAUAGUAUAUAAUUUUAUUGAAGAGAAGAUUUUACAAAGAUAAAAGAUUACAAAGAUAGAAGAGAUAGCAGGGAGGAUAGUUCAAGCGUGCCUCCUCUGAACUAAUUCACACCUAUUUAUAAUAGAUAACAAAAUACUAUCCGGACUUCAAAUAGACUUGAGUCCGUGAUAUAAUUAUUAUAAAAGAUAACAAAGGUAAAUAAUUGAGUUAUUUUGUCAAAAAGGAAAAGAUACUUGUCUGCCACUUUAUUUAUCAUUAUCUUCUCACAUUAUUGUAAAAAGAAUAAGGUGCCACUUCUGUCAAAAGAUUUUUGUCCUUUUGCAUCAUUGUCUUCUUUUGCUGGCCAUAAUGUCCAUUUAGUUAAAAAGCACAUCAUAGUUAUCAAGACCGUAUCAAUCGUCUUCAUUUUGUGGAGUGUAAUUAGGUCCACCAGUGCUUCUAGAGUCUUCGUCAUCACUAUCUCCAGAGACUUGUGAUAAUGCCUGUUCUAGGGCUGCUUUAAAUUCUUUCUUUGUAGUAUUUCCAGAUAAUUUUGCUAAAAUUUUGCUUUUAUCAGACAAGAAGUUGAAUUGUCCCAUAGAUUGACUUGUUCCUGAUAGCAUAGGAUUCUUUCCAGAGAAAUGUUUCAGAACCAUUUCUUUGUUGGCCUGAAUAUCUUUACAGUUAGACUACCAUUUAACACUAUAUUCACGGGUUAAACAGGCGAUAGAAUUUACAUUAGGAGAAGGUUUGAAUGGUUUUACUUUGAACUGCCAGGAGAAAAAUCCAAGGUAGGUUAAAGGUUUCAGAAAAGAUAAUCAAUUUAUCAUGCCUAAGGAUAGGUAACUUUUCUUUAAAGAUAGUGAAUCCUUCUAUAAUCUUAGCAGGUUAGAUUUCGGGGCAAAGUUCAAAAUAUGUCCACCAAUCUGAGAACCAAUUUGGGAAAUUUUUUGAAUUGGUUUUAUGAAACAUGAAGAACCAAGAGUGAUUCCAAUUUCGAAGAUAAAAGGUAUUGUACCAGGCUUUUUGGUAAUCAAAGUAAUUAUAACAGGGAGGUGUAAAAGUAACAGAAAAUUUCUUUGCAGUGCAUGAGUUUUGGUUCCAAUCUGAAAAAGUAAGGACUUUCAAGAUUCUACAUUUUGAAUAGGAAAUUUUCUCAGGCAUAUCACGAUCAUAGGAAUGUUCAAUUUCUAUGGAGUUGGUAUCUAAAAGGAUAAGUUCAUAAAUUUUUUUCAAUUUGUAGGGACUUUCGGGAAUAAAGAUUUGUUCAGAAGGGAAAAUAUGUUGAAAUAUUUGCUGAUAAUUGUGAUUUUCCAUAUUUCCAUUGAAUAUUUCAUUUUCAAGAAUGGUGACGAUUUGUUGUUGAGGUUUUGUAAAGUAUUUUGGUGGUUCUGGUUUAGAAGAACCGGGUUCGGUAACAGCUUGUAAAAAGUUUGAAGGUUUUGUAGGGGUAGAAGGUAAAGGAGUUUUGUCAAGAAUUUCAAACCUGUUUGUAGAAAUCAAUGAUGAAGAAUGUCAAGAUUUGUUAGCCGCAAAAUCGGCUGGCGAUAACUUCUUCUUUAUAGGAGUGCCCAUAAAGAUUAGCUUGAUUUAUUUCCCUGUAGAAAUUCUCUUGUUAAGAAAUCAAGUAAAGAGUUUGAAGAGCCUUUUAUAUAUUCAAUAUCAAAAUCAAAUAUUCCGAGAAGUGCUUGCCAUGUGGCAAAAACUUGUUUUUAAACAAAAUUUUUAACAUCUUUUUCCAAAAUAUUUUUAGCAGCACUACAAUCAAUACGGAGUAAAAAAUAUUUUCGAACUAAAUCAUCUUCAAAUUUUGUAAUACAUAAAACAAUUGAUAAAAGUUCUUUUUUAGAAUAUUUAGAUUGAGUUUCAUUCCAUGCUCUAGAGUGGAAUCUGACCAAGGACUCUGUAUUUUGACUAGGUAACUUUUGUUUAAGAAUUCCCCCAAAGCCUAAAUCAGAGGCAUCUAUUUCAACUAUAAGAAAGGCAUCUGGAUGAGGAAUAGACAGACA